rnacentral:snRNA from 1 species
AUACUUACCUAGACGGGGUCAAUGAAUGAUCAAUAAUGCUCAUGGCCUAGAUUGAUGUCUCACAUUGCACAUAGUGAGCAUGUCGAUCUAUCAUCUCCUUUUCGUGGGAGAGUGAACGUCAUGAUUUGUGAUAGAGGGGCAACUGCCCGCUCGACCCCUAC